rnacentral:rRNA from 1 species
AUUGAACGCUGGCGGCAUGCCUAACACAUGCAAGUCGAGCGGAAACAGGCCGUUUGGUCCCGACUUGUGGGGCAGGGGGGAGAGUAACGUCUAGGCGUGUACCUUCGCGUGGGGGAUCGAGUCGGGACACGUGCGCAUAUCCCAUACGCGCUCUGGAUGAGAACGGGGGGGAUCUUCGCCUCUCACGGACUCAGCUGCGCCUGGGGCGGAUUAGCUAGUUGGUGGGGUAAAGUCCUACCGAGGCGACGAUCCGUAGCUGGUCUGAGAGGAUGAUCAGCCACACUGGAACUGAGACACGGUCCAGACUCCUACGGGAGGCAGCAGUGGGGAAUUUUGGACAAUGGGCGAAAGCCUGAUCCAGCCAUGCCGCGUGUGUGAUGAAGGUCUUCGGGUUGUAAACUGCUUUUAUUUGGAACGAAAGGCAUUAUUUUAAUACAGGGCUGUUUUGACGGUACCGAAAGAAUAAGCACCGGCUAACUACGUG